rfam:Ipomoea nil DNA, scaffold: scaffold0239, cultivar: Tokyo-kokei standard.
GCGUGUUUAGCUUAGUUGGUAGAGCGCAAGGCUCUUAACUUUGUGGUCGUGGGUUCAAUUCCCACGGUGGGCA